ensembl:snRNA LOC120100119 U4 spliceosomal RNA
AGCUUUGCACAGUGGCAGUAUCGUAGCCAAUGAGGUUUAUCAGAGGCGUUAUUAUUACUAAUUGAAAUGCAUGAGUUAGAUGACAUCUACCUCCCUAUCCCCCUCUCAGUUCUUACUGUUCCUGGAGCCUCAGAAUGCAACAGAAUUUGGAAGCAGGUUGUUGC